rnacentral:ncRNA from 1 species
GCUCUCGUAUAGGGGCGUUGGGCAAAGGAGAGCGCUGACGUUCUGUGCGACAUGGGACUCGGCCGCCAGGACAUUAAGCUCAUUUCGAUCAAGUGCCUGCAGGGGGGGGUGUCGUGUUUCUGGCGCCAUCAACGUAUGACCUCCGUGGUUUCACGGGCGAUGACGCGGUGUGAUGAUUGACCCCCCCACGCUGUACUCUCCUCACCCCAUCUGGGUGGGUGUUAUUUGGGUCCCUCUGCCUGCCUGCCAACAGAGGACAAUAAUCUAUGCCACUGAUGGUGCCUGCUGGGUCCUUUAUUCCCAUGUGGGUUUCCGUCGCUGUGGUGUACAAAAAAAAAAAAAAAAAAAAAAAAAAAAAAAAAAUAGCCAAAUGCCUCGUCAUCUAAUUAGUGACGCGCAUGAAUGGAUUAACGAGAUUCCCACUGU